UUGGGACCGCCCCGAAGUCGUUACUCUACUGCUUGCAGAGGAGGACGCCGAAGGUGGGGCUGAUGACUGGGGUGAAGUCGUAACAAGGUAGCCGUACCGGAAGGUGUGGCUGGAUCACCUC
rnacentral:rRNA from 1 species